UCCCAGACUCCUACGGGAGGCAGCAGUGGGGAAUAUUGCACAAUGGGGGAAACCCUGAUGCAGCGACGCCGCGUGAGUGAAGAAGUAUUUCGGUAUGUAAAGCUCUAUCAGCAGGGAAGAAAAUGACGGUACCUGACUAAGAAGCCCCGGCUAACUACGUGCCAGCAGCCGCGGUAAUACGUAGGGGGCAAGCGUUAUCCGGAUUUACUGGGUGUAAAGGGAGCGUAGACGGCAUGGCAAGUCAGAUGUGAAAGCGCGGGGCUCAACCCCGGGACUGCAUUUGAAACUGUCAGGCUGGAGUGCAGGAGAGGUAAGUGGAAUUCCUAGUGUAGCGGUGAAAUGCGUAGAUAUUAGGAGGAACACCAGUGGCGAAGGCGGCUUACUGGACUGUAACUGACGUUGAGGCUCGAAAGCGUGGGGAGCAAACAGGAUUAGAUACCCGCGUA
rnacentral:rRNA from 1 species